UACGAAGGGGGCUAGCGUUGUUCGGAAUCACUGGGCGUAAAGCGCACGUAGGCGGAUCUUUAAGUCAGGGGUGAAAUCCCGAGGCUCAACCUCGGAACUGCCUUUGAUACUGGGGAUCUCGAGUCCGGGAGAGGUGAGUGGAACUGCGAGUGUAGAGGUGAAAUUCGUAGAUAUUCGCAAGAACACCAGUGGCGAAGGCGGCUCACAAAACUGUAACUGACGCUGAGGCACGAAAGCGUGGGUAUCAAACAGG
rnacentral:rRNA from 1 species